ACGCUGGCGGCGUGCUUAACACAUGCAAGUCGAACGGGAGGAAAAGAGAAGCUUGCUUCUUUUUGAAUCUAGUGGCAAACGGGUGAGUAACACGUAAACAACCUGCCUUCAGGAUGGGGACAACAGACGGAAACGACUGCUAAUACCGAAUGUGUUCCGGAGACCGCAUGAUUUCCGGAAGAAAGGAUGGCCUCUAUUUAUAAGCUAUCGCCUGAAGAGGGGUUUGCGUCUGAUUAGGCAGUUGGUGAGGUAACGGCCCACCAAACCUACGAUCAGUAGCCGGUCUGAGAGGAUGAACGGCCACACUGGAACUGAGACACGGUCCAGACUCCUACGGGAGGCAGCAGUGGGGAAUCUUCCGCAAUGGACGAAAGUCUGACGGAGCAACGCCGCGUGAGUGAUGACGGCCUUCGGGUUGUAAAGCUCUGUGAUCGGGACGAAUGGCUGGUAUGCUAAUACCAUAUCAGAGUGACGGUACCCGAAUAGCAAGCCACGGCUAACUACGUG
rnacentral:rRNA from 1 species